rnacentral:sRNA from 1 species
GUUGGCAUAAGGUUAAGGUUAAGGUUCACUCUUUCUUGCUCUCUCGCUUCUCCAAGGACGUUAAGGUUCACUCUUUCUGAAUCACAACCAAACCACAGAGGGAAGGUUCUGAAUCUGAACAGUUUUGGGGUUUUGGGAUUUGGUAGGAGGAAAAUAAGAAUAUCCCAGUCAAAAGAUCCUUAGAGAGGCUGAAAGUGAUCUUCACCUAUUUUCUUGUCACUACUCAACAGGGUACAUGCUCUUGCCAGGU